rnacentral:pre_miRNA from 1 species
AAAAAGACAAACCCUGGUUUCCGUGUCCAACGUUUGACCGUUCGUCUUAUUUGAAAUUUUUUAAAAAAAAAUUAAAAAGACAAGUCACGCAUAAAAUAUUAAUCAUGUUUUAUCAUCUAACAACAAUAAAAAUAUAAAUUAUAAAAAUAUUUCAUAUAAGACGGACAGUCAAAGUUGGACACGCAAACCCAGGGUUUGCCUUUUU